GAUGAACGCUGGCGGCGUGCUUAACACAUGCAAGUCGAACGAAGCACUUCAAUCGAUUUCUUCGGAAUGAAGUUUUAGUGACUGAGUGGCGGACGGGUGAGUAACGCGUGGGUAACCUGCCUCACACAGGGGGAUAACAGUUGGAAACGGCUGCUAAUACCGCAUAAGCGCACAGUACCGCAUGGUACAGUGCGAAAAAACUCCGGUGGUGUGAGAUGGACCCGCGUCUGAUUAGCUAGUUGGCAGGGCAACGGCCUACCAAGGCGACGAUCAGUAGCCGACCUGAGAGGGUGACCGGCCACAUUGGGACUGAGACACGGCCCAAAAUCCUACGGAGCAGCAGUGGGGAUAUUGCACAAUGGGGGAAACCCUGAUGCAGCGACGCCGCGUGAGCGAAGAAGUAUUCGGUAUGUAAAGCUCUAUCAGCAGGAAGAGAAAAUGACGGUAACCUGACUAAGAAGCA
rnacentral:rRNA from 1 species